GAGAUGCAGUCUGAAUGUUCACGGUGGCUUCUGACAUGGCAGCGUGAAUUCUCAGCUGGGCAGUGCUGAGGGUUGAACCCAGGGCCUCGUUGCAUGUCAGGGCUCCAGUGCAGAUUUAGAUCCACCUUCUGGAUGCUUUGGUCCCUGAAACAAGGCAGCAGGCUCUUGCUAUCAAAAACCUGUCCCUGAGAAGGUGCUGGGAACAUUAAAUCUUCAUGUCCCGAGGACAAGAAAAUUAAAAGUACUCAUUGUUCAGUAGCUACUGAGGCUGAUGAGAGGCGGGACUGUGGAUUCACGUGACUGACGAUGACUGGUCUUCCUGGCCAUAUUACUUUCUCUUUCUUUUAUCAAGUACAGACAUGGCACCUACCUGGAGUGGUGGUAUGAGUGCCCAAUCUCAAGGAAACAACCUAGGCCACCUGUUCCCAUUUUUUUUAUUGCUGUUGUUACAUGUGUAUAUGUGACAUAUGUGCGUGUAUGUUCAUGUGUUUGUGGGUACA
rnacentral:lncRNA from 1 species